ACUGUGACCACCUUGAGGAGUGAGCUAUUGUGAUUAAUACGGUAUUUUCAACUGUUUUGUUCUGUUAUCUCGCAAUAGAGGAACAAAUCAAGUCAAAUAUGGUAUUUUAACCAAAAGCACAUGUUCAAGAAUGUUCGGGACCUCUUUUACAUUCAAAUGAAUUCAAUCGUAAAGAAACGUGUCUAUAUUUUUGACGACGUUUCUGAGUGCGACUGAGAUGAAUCAUGAAUACAGUCGUGACAACACCUUUCAAAUGGGAAUUUCUGAUAGAGAUCGGUGAAUUAUACCAUAAAUUAACACAUGAGAAAUUGGUCAUGAACUUUAUUGUUUUGGAAAUGGUGAAUUUUAUAUGGACAAGACUCAUAUUUGUUUCUAUCGACCUAAUCAACGCAAACAAAUUAUGUCGCUUGUGGGAUUUGUUAAAGGAACAAAUGAUUCAGGAUGGUAGAAAGAAUAGCAGGUGCGUUGUAGUGAUCUUAUUUAUGUUAAUGGUGGGUGCUUAAACGCAAUGCCUUGUGAGAAUAUAUACCAUACCAUCCCUGCUUGUGUAUAAAUAUGUUCCUUAUUAAAGUCAUAGUCAUGAUUAAAUCACUCUUCUGAGAAGACCUCAAUGGUGUUUUAUUCCAAAGAAGCAAAUUAAAAUUAAUAAAUUUGAAAGAAAUUGAAAGUUGUAAAAUAAUGGUAUCUCAUUUCUGUGCUUUUUAGAUCCUAUAGAGACAGUAUAAAGUGAAGAUGGAACAAUGCUGCAAACAGUUACUUUCAGUUGCAUGUCUAGAUAUGCAUUAUAUUGCAUUGUGUAAAAACAAUUUAAUUGUAAAGGGUCUCUAGUAUUAUAGGAUCUGUGUGAAAUCUAUCAGCCUAAUCAUAAAAAAAUGUAUUGGUUAUAAAACAUUGUUUGUUGACUGAAUACUGCAACCUGCUGAGAUCAUUUUAGCUUUGUCUUUUCUUCAUGGAGUAAAUCAGGCUUUUAGGUUUCAAGAAAUUGUGACAUUGUUAAUAUAUGUUCUGCCCUCAAUAAUACAGAUCAAUUAAUAAACAGCAUAAUAUGUAUAUUUUAUGAGACUGACUGCUGCCUUGACACACCUACACAC
rnacentral:lncRNA from 1 species